GAAUAUAGCUCAGUUGAUAGAGUGCUUGCUCCUCAUGCACAAGGCCCUGGGUUCAAUACCCAGCACUAAUCA
rnacentral:tRNA from 1 species